GACGAACGCUGGCAGCGUGCUUAACACAUGCAAGUCGAACGGUGAAGCGCCUUCCUUUUUGGUGGGUGUGGAUGAGUGGCGAACGGGUGAGUAACACGUGAGUAACCUGCCCCCUUCUUCUGGAUAACCGCAUGAAAGUGUGGCUAAUACGGGAUAUUCUGGGUCUGUCGCAUGAUGGGUCUGGGAAGAUAUUGUUUCGGUGGGGGAUGGGCUCGCGGCCUAUCAGCUUGUUGGUGGGGUGAUGGCCUACCAAGGCGGUGACGGGUAGCCGGCCUGAGGGGGUGGAGGGACAAGAGGGGAUGGAGGCACGGGCCAGCUCCAGACGGGAGCAGGCGGGGGGGAAGGUUGAAGAAGGGGGGAAGGCUGGAGGCAGCGACGGCGGGGGAGGAAGGGGGGCCGUGGGGUGGGGAACCUCUUUGGCAAGGAAAGGAGGCCGGCCUCGUUGGUGGGGGGGUGGAGGGAAGCGGGAAAAAAAGCCCGGGCAAACUACGG
rnacentral:rRNA from 1 species